UAAAACACAUCAAUAACAUUGGACGGGGCACCCUAAAAAGCAUGUUUGAACUUAAUAUUGUCAUGGGCCUCAUCUCAGAGUUAUGUUCGUUUCGGAAGCACUAGUGAAUUUUGGUGGGAGGAUGUGAUAUUGUUCAGCUCCUAACAGAGGUAUAUGCAAGCCACAUUCUGAAAAACGUGUAGGCUCUCCUUACUUCAUAUGCAAACAAACCAAUUUCUGUAAACAUUUUUCCUAAAAGCAGUUCUUGAAGAGAAAUGUACAAAUAAUAGGUACGCUUCCUUAAUUGAUUGUUUUUAAGCCAUGUGCUUGGAGUUUUGCUCAAGAAAAAUAAUGUGUGGAACCCACCUUAUAAAUCAGCCGCCUUAGAAAAAUGUCUGUCUUGGAGGCCAAUUUUUCUCUCCCUUAUCAACAAACCUUUCCCAGUCAAGGUUCAAGCGGGAUGGUGUAGUACAGGCAAGUGGACACAAGGUGGCGCCCUGGGCAGUGGCAAGGAGCAGGCAAAAUGCAGCAGGCUCUGGAUUUGGUUUGAAUGAAGAAUGAGUUCAGUCCCUGUUGAUUGGAGCUGUGGGGUGGAGCUUUGCAGCGUCAGGACCUUGCCACAGAAACAGGCUGUUUAGAUUCCUAUCUAUUUGUUUCACAGGCUAUUGUUUGACCCAGAGAUUUGUCUCCUCUGUGCCCCUGGCUGGGUGAAGUGAGGGCAGACCAGUAGCUGAUUUGCAUCUUGAAGUGCUGUCUAGAACUGGUCAGUCGGGUCUGGGGUCAAGUUUGGGCUUGCUCUUCGUCACCAGCCGCUCCCUAAGUCUUCUUUGUUUAUUGAAAAAAGUUGCAUCCUGGACCGGUUCCCGGCCCAAGCUCUACGUGUCACCACACAAGUCCGGUUGUCUUCAACGGUUCGUCCCCUGACGGUGGUUCUCCGGCUUUCUUCUACUUGUGGACGGAGAACUGGCUCUGUUUCCCUUGACAUCUUGCUUCCAUCUCGACCAUUAUGGGAAGGAAGAGUGGACGAGUUUGUGUUUUCCUGUGGUUCCCCUUUCCUCCUGCAGGCAAGAGUUGGUCCCUCUGGGCCCCCAGCUCCUACCGGGUGUGCCCCCAGCUCUACUGGGAGCCCUCGCUGGUUUUUAGCGUCACCUCUGUACCCUGAAGGUUUCAGCAGGAAGCAGCUUCUGCAUGGACACCUGGGGUUGGUUCGCCUCUGUCGAUGUCUGUAAACUUCUGGAAAUAUCUUCAUUAAAUUCUCUCUAGUCAACUCUUAAAGGUGUUGGCUCUAGUGGCAAGGUUUUGUUUGCUUCACAGAGCCAGAAAAACCCUCUUGGUGCCUCCGUUUCUCUUCUUUUAAAUGAGAGCAUUUAUAUCUGCCUUAUUAAUGAGGAUCCUCUCUAACAACUACUGUAAACCAAGUGACAUCUGAAACCUGUUAACUUCUCUGCACAAGCCUCUGGAAUCGGCAGAGUGAGGGUCACAGACUAGACACUCGGUCCAAUGUCUUCCUUCGUUUAUGGGCAGAUUAAUGAGUGUCUUUAUGCCAAAGCACCAAGGCACACAGAAGGUUGGCACAGCAGUGCCAGCAAACACUGUGACCCUGGUAUCGACUGUGAGGCCAGCCUGCCUUCAGGAGAGCCUCAGGUCCUUAUAAGUGACAUGUGCUGUGUUGCCUGAAGGAUACUAGUUUGUUCCUCCCUCUUUCCCAUCUUGCCGGCUCCUUCCUCCCACCUGCAAAAUCAAUCAAACAAAAACAAAACAAAAACAAACAAACAAACAAAAAACGGAAGCUGCCCAGGUCCAGUUGUUUAUUCGAAGGUACAGCAAAGCCAGGGAGACCAAACAACCUUUAACAGGAGCUCUGUUGGGGACAGGAAGCAGCUUUUAGGUGUCCUUUGCUCCCUUGGUUGGACACUGCGGCCUUCAUGCUCGGUGGCAGCAGCUCAGAAGCCUGUCCCGUCUGACUGCAGAUGAACGUGGCCAUCUCCUGCCACUGUGGGACUGGGACUCCAGUCUGGAACGUUUCUUCUCCAGUCUCUGGGUCUUGAAGCCUCCGAGUUCGUAUGUGAAGAUGAGGAAGUCUUCAUAGCAUGGAGAGAACUAACGGCCCCAACAUCCCCUUAGUUGGACAUUCUGUGAGGCUCUGGGCCAGGAUCGAUUUCUUUAGCUUACAACUACGAAUCCAGACUUAUCCGCCAUCCAUAAAAAUGAUCGGCCUAUAAAGAAUUUACUUUAUGGGUAAAUUGAAUUGUUAGACCAGAAUAUGGUGAUCACUGUGGCCGGCCAUCAUUCACACAGCACAUGUGGGGACUAUUAAAGCUGCACCGUGGGCUGUUAGCUGUGACUUGUGGCCCAGAAUUAAUUCUGACUUUGAAAAGUCUGUCUAUGAGUUUAACAGGUCAUAUAUCAAA
rnacentral:sRNA from 1 species